AGAGUUUGAUCAUGGCUCAGAUUGAACGCUGGCGGCAUGCCUUACACAUGCAAGUCGAACGCGAAAGUGGGGGCAACCCUGCGAGUAGAGUGGCGAACGGGUGAGUAACACAUCGGAACGUACCCAGGAGUGGGGGACAACCUCGAGAAAUCGAGGCUAAUACCGCAUACGUCCUGAGGGAGAAAGCGGGGGAUCUGCAAGGACCUCGCGCUCAUGGAGCGGCCGAUGUCGGAUUAGCUAGUUGGCGGGGUAAAAGCCCACCAAGGCUACGAUCCGUAGCUGGUUUGAGAGAACGACCAGCCACACUGGGACUGAGACACGGCCCAGACUCCUACGGGAGGCAGCAGUGGGGAAUUUUGGACAAUGGGGGCAACCCUGAUCCAGCCAUGCCGCGUGAGUGAAGAAGGCCUUCGGGUUGUAAAGCUCUUUCGGCCGGAACGAAAUCGCGUACGUGAAUAACGUGCGUGGAUGACGGUACUGGAAGAAGAAGCACCGGCUAACUACGUGCCAGCAGCCGCGGUAAUACGUAGGGUGCGAGCGUUAAUCGGAAUUACUGGGCGUAAAGCGUGCGCAGGCGGUUCUGCAAGUCAGAUGUGAAAUCCCCGGGCUUAACCUGGGAACUGCGUUUGAAACUACGGAGCUAGAGUGCGGCA
rnacentral:rRNA from 1 species